AUGGCAGACUUGUCGUGUCUCACGAUUCUCGGUUUCUGCUUCCUCACUUUCAACUCCGGCAUGGCCAUCUACCGCUCCAACGGCGACGCGGGCUCCAUAGUCUUCGUUGUGUUCUCUUACUUGAACCUGGUUGCCCUUGUCGCAUGUCUGCGACUUUAUAAAGAUUUGGACUAUCAUUCUCCUCGCCGGCAGACGAUCAAGGCAGCGGUCUGGACGCUCACCAGCCUCCUCACCGUCAUGUUCAGCUAUAAAGUCGCUGAAAUCAUGCCUCUGGCAGUCAAGAUUGUCGUCUGGACGAUGGCAGCGGCCACCACCUGCGGCGGCUUCUACGCCUUCUUCAUCCACCAGGACAAGGCUUACCAGCCUGUCCCGGCGGCGCCGGAGGCCCCUGCCCUGCGCAGGGAUGGAACCAACUAA
rnacentral:rRNA from 1 species